rnacentral:rRNA from 1 species
AACGAACGCUGGCGGCAGGCUUAACACAUGCAAGUCGAGCGCCCCGCAAGGGGGGCGGCAGACGGGUGAGUAACGCGUGGGAACCUACCCACCCUUAAGGAUUAACGCAUGGAAACGUGUGCUAAUACCGUAAACGCCCUCGGGGGGAAAGAUUUAUCGGGGAUGGAUGAGCCCGCGUUGGAUUAGCUAGUUGGUGGGGUAAAGGCCUACCAAGGCGACGAUCCAUAGCUGGUCUGAGAGGAUGAUCAGCCACAUUGGGACUGAGACACGGCCCAAACUCCUACGGGAGGCAGCAGUGGGGAAUAUUGGACAAUGGGCGCAAGCCUGAUCCAGCCAUGCCGCGUGAGUGAUGAAGGCCCUAGGGUUGUAAAGCUCUUUCACCGAUGAAGAUAAUGACGGUAGUCGGAGAAGAAGCCCCGGCUAACUUCGUGCCAGCAGCCGCCGCCGUAA